CCUACGGGUGGCAGCAGUCGAGAAUCAUUCACAAUGGGGGAAACCCUGAUGGUGCGACGCCGCGUGGGGGAAUGAAGGUCUUCGGAUUGUAAACCCCUGUCAUGUGGGAGCAAAUUAAAAAGAUAGUACCACAAGAGGAAGCGACGGCUAACUCUGUGCCAGCAGCAGCGGUAAUACAGAGGUCUCAAGCGUUGUUCGGAAUCACUGGGCGUAAAGCGUGCGUAGGCUGUUUCGUAAGUCGUGUGUGAAAGGCGGGGGCUCAACCCGCGGACGGCACAUGAUACUGCGGGACUAGAGUAAUGGAGGGGGAACCGGAAUUCUCGGUGUAGCAGUGAAAUGCGUAGAUAUCGAGAGGAACACUCGUGGCGAAGGCGGGUUCCUGGACAUUAACUGACGCUGAGGCACGAAGGCCAGGGGAGCGAAAGGGAUUAGAUACCCCAGUAGUC
rnacentral:rRNA from 1 species